UACGUAGGUGGCAAGCGUUGUCCGGAUUUACUGGGCGUAAAGAGCGCGCAGGCGGUCGUUCAAGUCGCGUGUGAAAGCCCCCGGCUCAACUGGGGAGGGUCACGCGAUACUGAUCGACUCGAAGGCAGGAGAGGGAAGUGGAAUUCCCGGUGUAGUGGUGAAAUGCGUAGAUAUCAGGAGGAACACCGGUGGCGAAGGCGGGUCUCUGGGCCGAUACUGACGCUGAGGAGCGAAAGCGUGGGGAGCGAACAGG
rnacentral:rRNA from 1 species